UACGUAGGGCGCAAGCGUUAUCCGGAAUUAUUGGGCGUAAAGAGCUCGUAGGCGGUUUGUCGCGUCUGCCGUGAAAGUCCGGGGCUCAACUCCGGAUCUGCGGUGGGUACGGGCAGACUAGAGUGAUGUAGGGGAGACUGGAAUUCCUGGUGUAGCGGUGAAAUGCGCAGAUACCAGGAGGAACACCGAUGGCGAAGGCAGGUCUCUGGGCCGUAACUGACGCUGAGGAGCGAAAGCAUGGGGAGCGAACAGG
rnacentral:rRNA from 1 species